rnacentral:rRNA from 1 species
CGUACACUCCUGCGGGAGGCAGCAGUGGGGAAUCUUGCGCAAUGGGCGAAAGCCUGACGCAGCCAUGCCGCGUGAAUGAUGAAGGUCUUAGGAUUGUAAAAUUCUUUCACCGGGGACGAUAAUGACGGUACCCGGAGAAGAAGCCCCGGCUAACUUCGUGCCAGCAGCCGCGGUAAUACGAAGGGGGCUAGCGUUGCUCGGAAUUACUGGGCGUAAAGGGAGCGUAGGCGGACAUUUAAGUCAGGGGUGAAAUCCCGGGGCUCAACCUCGGAAUUGCCUUUGAUACUGGGUGUCUUGAGUAUGAGAGAGGUGUGUGGAACUCCGAGUGUAGAGGUGAAAUUCGUAGAUAGUCGGAAGAACACCAGUGGCGAAGGCGACACACUGGCUCAUUACUGACGCUGAGGCUCGAAAGCGUGGGGAGCAAACAGGAUUAGAUACCCUAGUAGUCCCAUGA